AUGCACGCUGGCGGCGUGCCUAAUACAUGCAAGUCGAGCGAACGGACGAGAAGCUUGCUUCUCUGAUGUUAGCGGCGGACGGGUGAGUAACACGUGGAUAACCUACCUAUAAGACUGGGAUAACUUCGGGAAACCGGAGCUAAUACCGGAUAAUAUUUUGAACCGCAUGGUUCAAAAGUGAAAGACGGUCUUGCUGUCACUUAUAGAUGGAUCCGCGCUGCAUUAGCUAGUUGGUAAGGUAACGGCUUACCAAGGCAACGAUGCAUAGCCGACCUGAGAGGGUGAUCGGCCACACUGGAACUGAGACACGGUCCAGACUCCUACGGGAGGCAGCAGUUGGGAAUCUUCCGCAAUGGGCGAAAGCCUGACGGAGCAACGCCGCGUGAGUGAUGAAGGUCUUCGGAUCGUAAAACUCUGUUAUUAGGGAAGAACAUAUGUGUAAGUAACUGUGCACAUCUUGACGGUACCUAAUCAGAAAGCCACGGCUAACUACGUG
rnacentral:rRNA from 1 species